UUUAAAGGGGCGACGAUCACCUCAUUAAAAUUAGUAUAGUUUUGCCACUGUUUACAAAAUGCGUCCACACUCAGCAGAGUCCUUAGCAAACAACAACGUGAAACCUCAAAUUCCACCAUUAUCGUUGGUAAGUAUCUCACUCAAACUCCAAAACCAAUUCUAUAGUAACAGAUGAGAUAAGUUUUGCACGUUUUGAAAUUAAAAUCUUAGAUACCAUGAAUUUUAUUGGACACCUGGCAAAAUAAACUCAAAUUAAUUAAAUAUUAAAUAAGGACAUGAUUUCAGAUUAUUAGUUACUGUACUCACUUAAACAAUAAGUUAUUAGAGUAUUCAUCCUCUAUACAGACUUAUUUUUAUUUUGGAUUAAUAAAUUUUAGUAUUAGAUCAAAUGACACUUUUUAAUAAACUUAUGUACAAUACAAAAAUAUAUUGGAUCGUUAAAUGAUAUUUAAGGUUAGGUAGAAUUUGUUAGAUUAAUAUAUUAAAGAUAUUAUAUCAAAGUGUAUGAUAUUUUAAUUGUAUAAUAAUUUGUUACAUAAUUAUUUUAAGUUUUACUUUUUUUUUAAUUAUUUAUCAAUUUCUGGAGUUUAAAUAUGAUUCUCAACAUGAUAUUAGAACAAUAAUAUUUAUUCCACUACAAUAUAUUUUCAAAUUUUAUUAUCUUUUCCUUUUCGUUUUGAAUUUAAAUUUGUGAUUCUUCGUUAUUUCUCAACUUGGUUCUAUAAUAUUUGAAUAUUCAAGAUUGAAAAUGCUUUGUGAUUUAUGAUUCGAUUAUUUGAAAGUUUAAUUGUUCAUUAGCCAUUAUCUUAUUUAGUGAUAUAUUUCACUAUAAUUUCAUUCUUUUUAGCCAACUUUCUUUAUGUGCUUCUACCAUAUGGUAGUAAAAUAAUUUUCUUUGUUCUUUUAUUCUAUGGUAUUAGACAUUUUUUAUUCUCUUUGUGCUUUCAUCCUAUGAUAAUUAUGUUUUGUUAGUCAAAUUUGACAUUUGAAGAUCCAAAUAUUGAAAUUCUCGAUUCUAUAAUUGAGUGUUGUGGAAACACCAAAAAAUUUCAAGUUAGUCUAAAGUAGGUCGAAUACUUCAACGAGAGUCAUGCAUCUCGAUCACUACCACUUUCUACAUGAAUUUUAUUGUUUAGCCGAUGCGAUUAUCGUUUGUAUUAUUUUUCUUGUAAUUUUCUUUCAUUAGUUUCAUUGUAUUUUUUAUUUUUCUUGUAUCAUAUUAUUCUUCACAAGUUGGAAAUGGUGUUACAUACUUUCAACUUAUGGGAGUAAUUAAAAUAUAUUUAUAGAUAUGUAGAAUUUGUUAGGUUAGUUACAUUAAGAACACACUAUAAAAGUGCAUCACACUCUAAUUGUAUAACAAUUCUUUAUAUGAUAAUUUCAAUUUUUUUUCUCUUUAAUUAUUUAUAUCUUACUUCUACUCAACCAUGAUUCUCAAGCAAUCACAUUAAAAAUAUACAUUACAAUAAUAAUAUUUGAACAUUCUUAAUUUUUAUUAUAUACUCAUUGAACGCUUUAUUUUCUCUU
rnacentral:lncRNA from 1 species